CCUACGGGAGGCAGCAGUGGGGAAUUUUGGACAAUGGGCGAAAGCCUGAUCCAGCAAUGCCGCGUGCAGGAUGAAGGCCUUCGGGUUGUAAACUGCUUUUGUACGGAACGAAAAAGCUCCUUCUAAUACAGGGGGGCCAUGACGGUACCGUAAGAAUAAGCACCGGCUAACUACGUGCCAGCAGCCGCGGUAAUACGUAGGGUGCGAGCGUUAAUCGGAAUUACUGGGCGUAAAGCGUGCGCAGGCGGUUAUGUAAGACAGAUGUGAAAUCCCCGGGCUCAACCUGGGAACUGCAUUUGUGACUGCAUGGCUAGAGUACGGUAGAGGGGGAUGGAAUUCCGCGUGUAGCAGUGAAAUGCGUAGAUAUGCGGAGGAACACCGAUGGCGAAGGCAAUCCCCUGGACCUGUACUGACGCUCAUGCACGAAAGCGUGGGGAGCAAACAGGAUUAGAUACCCCGGUAGUC
rnacentral:rRNA from 1 species